UACAGAGGUCCCGAGCGUUGUUCGGAUUCAUUGGGCGUAAAGGGUGCGUAGGCGGCGAGGCCAGUCUGAUGUGAAAUCCCCGGGCUCAACCCGGGAACUGCAUUGGAUACUGCCUUGCUUGAGUACUGGAGAGGGAACUGGAAUUUACGGUGUAGCAGUGAAAUGCGUAGAGAUCGUAAAGAGGGCCAGUGGCGAAGGCGAGGUCCUGGACAGUUAAUGACGCUGAGGCACG
rnacentral:rRNA from 1 species